rnacentral:rRNA from 1 species
AUGGCGGCAGCGACGCGAACGCAAGCCGGUGGGCGGGCAAGCGAAGUAGGUGGACGGGCUUGGAGGUGGAGCAGGCGCUCGGGAGGCCGAGAGCGGCCGGCCACAGGCGGGGCAGACCCGGCAGCCGGGAGGCCGACGAGCAGCACGGAGCGCAGCGACGUGACGGGCACCCGGCCACGGGCGGAGAAAGCCGCGCGGAGGCCGGCACAGGACGGCGCGAACGCGGUCCCGUUGCGCAGGGGCCGGCCGGAGUGCAGGGCGCUAGGAAAGAGCCCGGACUGGGAUGCAGCAAUCCACAGCGGCACGGGCGCGGCCGGAGAUGCACGAGGCAAGAUGCAGUGCAGGUGCUAA